AAGAUUAUACUUUCAGGGAUUGUUUCUAUAGUGCCCGACCGGAGAAACGUGCUCGGAAGUGGUCAGGCUCGGUAACCAUGAUGAAGAGCUCACGUGCGUUCCCCUGAGCGCGAAGCGAGUGUCAAGCGCUGUGGCUAACGGCUGCUUGUUGCUUUUGAUGACUGUUCCUUCCUUCGCGAGAGCAGGUUAGGAGGGGGAAUGUGCAAGCUGAGUGGU